UACGAAGGGGGCUAGCGUUGCUCGGAAUCACUGGGCGUAAAGGGUGCGUAGGCGGGUCUUUAAGUCAGGGGUGAAAUCCCGAGGCUCAACCUCGGAACUGCCCUUGAUACUGGGGAUCUCGAGUCCGGAAGAGGUUGGUGGAACUCCGAGUGUAGAGGUGAAAUUCGUAGAUAUUCGGAAGAACACCAGUGGCGAAGGCGGCCAACUGGUCCGGCACUGACGCUGAGGUGCGAAAGCGUGGGGAGCAAACAGG
rnacentral:rRNA from 1 species